GACUACUGGGGUAUCUAAUCCCGUUUGCUACCCUAGCUUUCGCGUCUGAGUGUCAGAAUUGGUCCAGGAGGCCGCUUUCGCCACUGGUGUUCCUCCGGAUAUCUACGCAUUUCACCACUACACCCGGAAUUCCACCUCCCUCUACCAAUCUCAAGUCCUGCAGUUUUGAACGACCUCUCCCAGUUAAGCCGGGAGCUUUCACAUCCAACUUACAAGACCACCUGCACGCGCUUUACGCCCAGUAAAUCCGGAUAACGCUAGCCUCCUACGUUUUACCGCGGCUGCUGGCACGUAGUUAGCCGAGGCUUAUUCAGAAAGUACUGUCCUUCCUCAUCCUCUCUAAAAGCACUUUACGACCCGAAGGCCUUCAUCGUGCACGCGGCGUUGCUGGUUCCCGCUUUCGCAGAUUACCAAUAUUCCCCACUGCAGCCUCCCGUAGG
rnacentral:rRNA from 1 species